ACUCAUAGGAGACUGCCGGGGUCAACUCGGAGGAAGGUGGGGAUGACGUCAAAUCAUCAUGCCCCUUAUGUCUUGGGCUUCACGCAUGCUACAAUGGCCGAUACAAAGGGCUGCAAUACCGCGAGGUGGAGCGAAUCCCAAAAAGUCGGUCUCAGUUCGGAUUGAGGUCUGCAACUCGACCUCAUGAAGUCGGAGUCGCUAGUAAUCGCAGAUCAGCAACGCUGCGGUGAAUACGUUCCCGGGCCUUGUACACACCGCCCGUCAAGUCAUGAAAGUCGGUAACACCCGAAGCCGGUGGCCCAACCCUUGUGGAGGGAGCUGUCGAAGGUGGGAUCGGUGAUUAGGACUAAGUCGUAACAAGGUAGCCGUACCGGAAGGUGCGGCUGGAUCACCUCCUUUCUAAGGAG
rnacentral:rRNA from 1 species